GCCGAACGCGAGUCAAACACGAGCCGACUCGCUCAUUUGCCAGCCCUACUUCUACGUUCUACAGUGAAACCGCAAAAAAUAUAUCGUAACCGACUUAUCGCGAUAUGAGGAAUGCAAUAUUAUGUAUGAAAACAAACAGAAUAUUUUUCCAACGUACUUUCUCACCGCACAUAAUGCAAGCUCCCUGCAAUCCCAAACGAAGCCUUAUCAAUGCUGCUUGAAAGGAUUAGUGUUAGUAUUUGUUUGGGUAUCAUUCUUU
rnacentral:lncRNA from 1 species